rnacentral:rRNA from 1 species
UCCAGACUCCUACGGGAGGCAGCAGUGGGGGAUAUUGCACAAUGGGGGGAACCCUGAUGCAGCGACGCCGCGUGGGUGAAGGAGCGUUUCGGCGCGUAAAGCCCUCUCGGCAGGGAAGAAGGAGGACGGUACCUGACUAAGAAGCCCCGGCUAACUACGUGCCAGCAGCCGCGGUAAUACGUAGGGGGCAAGCGUUAUCCGGAUUUACUGGGUGUAAAGGGGGCGCAGACGGCAGCGCAAGCCAGGAGGGAAAGCCCGGGGCCCAACCCCGGGACUGCUCUUGGAACUGCGCGGCUGGAGUGCAGGAGGGGCAGGCGGAAUUCCUGGUGUAGCGGUGAAAUGCGUAGAUAUCACGCAGAACUCCGAUUGCGAAGGCAGCAUACCGGCGCCCAACUGACGCUGAAGCACGAAAGCGUGGGUAUCGAACAGGAUUAGAUACCCGCGUAU